rnacentral:rRNA from 1 species
AUCAGUUAUCGUUUAUUUGAUAGUACCUUUACCUGGAUAACCGUGGUAAUUCUAGAGCUAAUACAUGCUAAAAACCUCGACUUCGGAAGGGGUGUAUUUAUUAGAUAAAAAACCAAUGCCCUUCGGGGCUCCUUGGUGAAUCAUAAUAACUUAACGAAUCGCAUGGCCUUGCGCCGGCGAUGGUUCAUUCAAAUUUCUGCCCUAUCAACUUUCGAUGGUAAGAUAGAGGCUUACCAUGGUCUUAACGGGUAACGGGGAAUUAGGGUUCUAUUCCGGAGAGGGAGCCUGAGAAACGGCUACCACAUCCAAGGAAGGCAGCAGGCGCGCAAAUUACCCAAUCCCGACACGGGGAGGUAGUGACAAUAAAUACUGAUACGGGGCUCUUUUGGGUCUCGUAAUUGGAAUGAGUACAAUCUAAAUCCCUUAACGAGGAACAAUUGGAGGGCAAGUCUGGUGCCAGCAGCCGCGGUAAUUCCAGCUCCAAUAGCGUAUAUUAAAGUUGUUGCCGUUAAAAAGCUCGUAGUUGAACCUUGGGCCUGGCUGACCUGUCCUCCUAAUCGAGCGCACGGGUUCGGUCGGGCCUUUCCUUCUAGGGAACCCCAUGCCCUUCACUGGGUGUGGUGGGGAACUAGGACUUUUACCUUGAAAAAAUUAGAGUGUUCAAAGCAGGCCUUUGCUCGAAUACAUUAGCAUGGAAUAAUAGAAUAGGACAUCGGUUCUAUUUUGUUGGUUUCUAGGACCGCCGUAA